GUGGGGAAUCUUCCGCAAUGGACGAAAGCCUGACGGAGCAACGCCGCGUGAGUGAAGACGGCCUUCGGGUCGUAAAGCUCUGUUAUAUGGGACGAACGUAUCUAUGGCCAAUACCCAUAGAUAGUGACGGUACCGUAAGAGAAAGCCACGGCUAACUACGUGCUAGCAGCCGCGGUAAUACGUAGGUGGCAAGCGUUGUCCGGAAUUAUUGGGCGUAAAGGGCGCGCAGGCGGCCGGUCAAGUCUGUCUUAAAAGUGCGGGGCUCAACCACGUGAUGGGACGGAAACUGGCAGGCUCGAGUGUCGGAGAGGAAAGCAGAAUACCUAGUGUAGCGGUGAAAUGCGUAGAUAGUAGGAGGAAUACCAGUGGCGAAAGCGGCUUUCUGGACGACAACUGACGCUGAGGCGCGAAAGCCAGGGGAGCAAACGGGAUUAGAUACCCUGGUAGUCC
rnacentral:rRNA from 1 species